GACGAACGCUGGCGGCGUGCUUAACACAUGCAAGUCGAACGGAAAGGCCCUGUACUUGUGGGGUGCUCGAGUGGCGAACGGGUGAGUAACACGCGAGUAACCUGCCCCUGACUGUGGGAUAACUCCAGGAAACUGGGGCGAAUACCGGAUAGGAGCUCCUGCUGCACGGGGGGGGUUGGAAAGUUUCGGCGGUUGGGGAUGGACUCGCGGCUCAGCAGCUUGUUGGUGGGGUAGUGGCUUACCAAGGCUUUGACGGGUAGCCGGCCUGAGAGGGUGACCGGCCACAUUGGGCCUGGGGUGCGGCCCAGACUCCUACGGGAGGCAGCGGUGGGGGAUAUUGCACGCUGGGCGGAAGCCUGAUGCAGCAACGCCGCGUGCGGGAUGACGGCCUUCGGGUUGUAAACCGCUUUCGCCUGUGACGAAGCGUGAGUGACGGUAAUGGGUAAAGAAGCACCGGCUAACUACGUG
rnacentral:rRNA from 1 species